AUUGAACGCUGGCGGAAUGCUUUACACAUGCAAGUCGAACGGCAGCACGGGGGCAGCCCUGGUGGCGAGUGGCGAACGGGUGAGUAAUACAUCGGAACGUGCCCGGUCGUGGGGGAUAACGUAGCGAAAGUUACGCUAAUACCGCAUACGAUCUGAGGAAGAAAGCGGGGGACCUUCGGGCCUCGCGCGAUCGGAGCGGCCGAUGUCAGAUUAGGUAGUUGGUGGGGUAAAGGCCUACCAAGCCGACGAUCUGUAGCUGGUCUGAGAGGACGACCAGCCACACUGGGACUGAGACACGGCCCAGACUCCUACGGGAGGCAGCAGUGGGGAAUUUUGGACAAUGGGCGCAAGCCUGAUCCAGCCAUUCCGCGUGCAGGACGAAGGCCUUCGGGUUGUAAACUGCUUUUGUACGGAACGAAAAGGCUCUGGCUAAUACCUGGGGCUCAUGACGGUACCGUAAGAAUAAGCACCGGCUAACUACGUG
rnacentral:rRNA from 1 species